GAUCUCGAAUAGAGAUGAAGAAAGGAGAAACAGCACAAAUUUGGAAAUAGUGGAUCUAUAUUGUCUUGUGGCUUGUAGUAUACUAAGGAAAAUUUAUCAUCACUUCUCACAGUUUGAACCCGAGAUUCAACACUCAAUGCAUCGUUUUUGUGUGUGUUCUUUCUAACUCGUUGUUGGAAAUAUUGUCACGAAUGUCAUCAAGGAUGUGCUCAGAA